rnacentral:rRNA from 1 species
UGCCAGCAGCCGCGGUAAUACGUAGGGGGCAAGCGUUGUUCGGAAUUACUGGGCGUAAAGCGUGCGUAGGCGGAUCGACAAGUUGGGGGUGAAAUCCCGGGGCUUAACCCCGGAACUGCCCUCAAAACUGUCGAUCUAGAGACCGGGAGAGGUAAGCGGAAUUCCUAGUGUAGAGGUGAAAUUCGUAGAUAUUCGGAGGAACACCAGUGGCGAAGGCGGCUUUCUGGACCAAUACUGACGCUGAGAUGCGAAAGCGUGGGGAGCGAACAGGAUUAGAUA